rnacentral:rRNA from 1 species
GAUGAACGCUGGCGGCGUGCCUAAUACAUGCAAGUCGAGCGAACAGACGAGGAGCUUGCUCCUCUGACGUUAGCGGCGGACGGGUGAGUAACACGUGGAUAACCUACCUAUAAGACUGGGAUAACUUCGGGAAACCGGAGCUAAUACCGGAUAAUAUAUUGAACCGCAUGGUUCAAUAGUGAAAGACGGUUUUGCUGUCACUUAUAGAUUGAUCCGCGCCGCAUUAGCUAGUUGGUAAGGUAACGGCUUACCAAGGCAACGAUGCGUAGCCGACCUGAGAGGGUGAUCGGCCACCCUCGAACUGAGACACGGUCCAGACUCCUACGGGAGGCAGCAGUAGGGAAUCUUACGCAAUGGCCGCAUGCUUGAUGGAGCAACGCCGCGUGAGUGAUGAAGGUCUUCGGAUCGUAGAACUCUGUUAUUAGGGAAGAACAAAUGUGUAAGUAACUAUGCACGUCUUGACGGUACCUAAUCAGAAAGCCACGGCUAACUACGUG